rnacentral:sRNA from 1 species
CCACUCAAGUCAUUUCACAGCCAUCACAAAACCAUCCUA